GACGACGCUUGCGGCGCACCUAACGAAUGCGAGUCGAGCGGGGCUCAUUCAUUCGGAUGACUUCGGUCAUUCACCGAGUGGGCUCAGCGGCAAACUGGUGAGUAACACGUGGAUAACCUACCCUUGGGUGGGGCCUAGCCGGGGGAAAUCCCGGGUAAUUCCCCAUAACCUGGUUCUUCGUAGGAAGGGCCAGCAAAGGUCUUCGGGCCGCCUGAGGAUGGGUCCGCGGCCCAUCAGCUAGUUGGUAGGGUAACGGCCUACCAAGGCGACGACGGGUAGCCGGCCUGAGAGGGUAAUCGGCCACACGGGGACUGAGACAUGGUCCCGGCUCCUACGGGAGCUAGCAUCGGGGAAUCUUGCGCAAUGGGCGAAAGCCCGACGCAGUGACGCCGCGUGGGGGAUGAAGGCCUUCGGGUUGUAAACCCCUGACAGGAGGAAUGAACGCCGGUCUUCGGGCCGGCCUGACAGUACCUUCAGAGGAAGCCCCGGCUAACUACGUG
rnacentral:rRNA from 1 species